rnacentral:snRNA from 1 species
AGCUUUGCGCAGUGGCAGUAUCGUAGCCAAUGAGGUUUAUCCGAGGCGCGAUUAUUGCUAAUUGAAAAAUAUCAGUGGUCUCUUUGGAAGAAAUUGACAAACUGUUUCUAAAACCUAUCCGAACAAGCUAACCACCU